rnacentral:rRNA from 1 species
AGUUCUUUGAAAAGUAGAUAAACAUGCUUUAAAAUUUUCAUAAAGUGAAGGAAGUAAGGGCAUAUAGUGGAUGCC